rnacentral:rRNA from 1 species
AACGCGAAGAACCUUACCGGGGUUUGAACUGCACGGGACAGCUGCAGAGAUGUAGCCUUCCUUCGGGACCCGUGUAGAGGUGCUGCAUGGCUGUCGUCAGCUCGUGUCGUGAGAUGUUGGGUUAAGUCCCGCAACGAGCGCAACCCUUGCCUCCUGUUGCUAACGAGUAAAGUCGAGCACUCUGGAGAGACUGCCGGUGAUAAACCGGAGGAAGGUGGGGAUGACGUCAAGUCCUCAUGGCCUUUAUGCCCCGGGCUACACACGUGCUACAAUGGCUGGUACAAAGGGUUGCAAAACCGCGAGGUGGAGCUAAUCCCAAAAAACCAGUCCCAGUUCGGAUUGCAGUCUGCAACUCGACUGCAUGAAGUUGGAAUCGCUAGUAAUCGCGGAUCAGCACGCCGCGGUGAAUACGUUCCCGGGCCUUGUACACACCGGUAUCUC